CCGGCGACCGGCGCACGGGUGAGUAACACGUAUGCAACCUGGCCGUGACAGAUGGAUAACCGGGAGAAAUCCCGCCUAAUACAACAUAAUGCCGGGAGGGGACAUCCCCUGCCGGUCAAAGGGGGCGACCCCGGUCACGGAUGGGCAUGCGGCGCAUUAGGUAGUUGGUGGGGCAACGGCCCACCAAGCCGACGAUGCGUAGGGGUUCUGAGAGGAAGGUCCCCCACAUUGGAACUGAGACACGGACCAGACUCCUACGGAAGGCAGCAG
rnacentral:rRNA from 1 species